rnacentral:rRNA from 1 species
AGCCCAACAGCUAGCUCAACCCCAUAAAUUCAACAAUAAACUAUAAAUAAACCAUAAGUGUCCUACACCUUAUCAAACAAAACAUUUUUCCCCCUUAGUAUGGGCGACAGAAAAGGACAAGACGAAGCGAUAGCAUUAGUACCGCAAGGGAAUGCUGAAAGAAAGAUGAAAAAGACUAGUAAAGCACAAUAAAGCAGAGCUUACCCCUCGUACCUUUUGCAUCAUGAUUUAGUAAGAACCCAUCAGGCAAAAAGAAUUGUAGUCUGACACCCCGAAACCAAGUGAGCUACUCCAGGACAGCCUUAUAGGGCACACCCGUCUCUGUGGCAAAAGAGUGGGAAGAUCCUUGAGUAGAGGUGACAGACCUACCGAACUAGGUUAUAGCUGGUUGCUCAGGAAAAGAAUAGAAGUUCAGCCUUUUAGCCUCUUCGCCCACCAAUCGAUCUCGCCACAAGCGACCCAAGAGAGCUAAAAGAGUAAGUCAAAGGGGGUACAGCCCCUUUGAAAACAGACACAACUUUCCCAGAAGGGUUAAGAUCACACUAUACCAGGCAACAGUGUUCUAGUUGGCCUAAAAGCAGCCACCCACACAGAAAGCGUUAAAGCUCAUACACAGCCCACCCCUCUUAUCCGGACCACAAAGUCUUACCCCCCUAAACAUACUGAGCCUUCCCACCACCCGUGGGAGAGAUAAUGCUAAUAUGAGUAAUAAGAGAAGAGGACUCUCUCCUUGCACAAGCGUAAAUCGGAACGAACUAACACCGACCAUUAACGGCCCCAUAAAAUGAGGGAACUGAGACGAAUGACUACCCCACUAGAAAAACCCCCACACCCAAACCGUUAAUCUUACACCAGCGUGCUGACCAGGAAAGACUAAAAGAAAAAGAAGGAACUCGGCA